GUAGGUGAACCUGCGGAAGGAUCAUUAUCGAAUU
rnacentral:rRNA from 1 species